GAUGAACGCUGGCGGCGUGCCUAAUACAUGCAAGUCGAGCGAACAGACGAGGAGCUUGCUCCUCUGACGUUAGCGGCGGACGGGUGAGUAACACGUGGAUAACCUACCUAUAAGACUGGGAUAACUUCGGGAAACCGGAGCUAAUACCGGAUAAUAUGUUGAACCGCAUGGUUCAACAGUGAAAGACGGUUUUGCUGUCACUUAUAGAUGGAUCCGCGUCGCAUUAGCUAGUUGGUAAGGUAACGGCUUACCAAGGCAACGAUGCGUAGCCGACCUGAGAGGGUGAUCGGCCACACUGGAACUGAGACACGGUCCAGACUCCUACGGGAGGCAGCAGUAGGGAAUCUUCCGCAAUGGGCGAAAGCCUGACGGAGCAACGCCGCGUGAGUGAUGAAGGUCUUCGGAUCGUAAAACUCUGUUAUUAGGGAAGAACAAAUGUGUAAGUAACUAUGCACGUCUUGACGGUACCUAAUCAGAAAGCCACGGCUAACUACGUG
rnacentral:rRNA from 1 species